CAACACUUACAACCACCAUCCCACCCACUACCACUACCACAACCACUGCUAGACCACCGCCACCACUGCUCUGUCCAUCAACCCCACCAACUCUAAAACACGCAUCGGCAGCGCCCGACCCACCACCGUCGUUGCCAAAAAGACCACCCCAACAUCACCAUACUAUGGAAACCACUACCAUUAACAAAAACCACAACAAAAACUUCGUUCACGUCAUGUACCAGAACUGCAAUUUUCCCUAGAUCUGACACCAGAUCGCUACCCAAAACUCCAAUCAAAUUUUCCUCAGAUCCAACACCAUAUUGUGACCUAAAACUCCAACCACCACACCAUCCCACUCACAACCACCGCACAAUCGCCACGAGCCACAACCAUCGUCGCCACGACCACCAUCACCACUACCAACACCAAAGCUAGCACCACCACACCACUACCACCAGAACGCCAACAAAUCCUAAAAAUAAUUUCUUUCAGGCAGGCAAUGCCACCACCACAAUUUGAAGUAAUAGUUGCAACGACAUCAUCUGCAGCAGCGACUGCAAUGAUCCAUGAUGUCGUGUAAAUGGAGCAAACCAUAUGGAGGUCAAAUCCUAGUAUCUUGCACGAGCGUCGCAUCGACAAUUUGAAAGUGCCAAUGCGAGCGGUGCUCAAAUCAUUGCUCCAUGUUGUUCUGCACGGCACAUCGAAGAGAGAGAGAGAGAGAGAUGGAGUGGCGAAGAGAGGGACGAUUUGAAAGUGCCACUACAAGCAAUGCUUUGUGACGGAGAGAGAUGGAGUGGCGAAGAGAGAGACAAGACACAGCGAAGAGACGAACAACAACACAUGGUAGUGAUCCAUGCUCUGAGGUGGUGGUCGUCAACGGCGACGGCGACGACAUCCCAUUUGUGGAGGGAGUUGGAAGAGAGAGAAUAUAAAGGAAGAUAUAAGGGGCAUUGGUAUGUGGAGAGAGUGAGAGGUAAUUAGGGUUUGGGAGUUUGGAUGGUAAUGGGUAGAUAUGUAAAAUAAUUUAAUUUUUAUAAUAGUAAUAUAUUUAUCAUUUGUU
rnacentral:lncRNA from 1 species